GGUUGAUUCUGCCUGACGUGGAUGCUUGUCUCAUAGAUUAAGCCAUGCAUGUGUAAGCGAAGCGAUUAGUGGAGCGGCGGACGGCUCAGUAACGGGCGAGUAUUUAAUCUCUCGAACUGGACAACCUCAGGAAACAGAGGGGAAAACAGUGUAGUUAUUUGUUAACAGCGAAUGACGAGAACAUUUAGUUGUGCGAGAGAGUAAGAAGCCAUCCCAUCAGUUAGUAAGUAGGGUAAGGGCCUACUUAGACGAAGACGGGUACGGGGGAUUAGGGUUUGAUUCCGGAGAGGGAGCCUGAGAGACGGCUACCAGGUCCAAGGACAGCAGCAGGCGCGAAAAUUACCACAGCCCGCAUCGGGGCGGUAGUGAAGAGACGUGAAAACAACAGUGUGUAGAUAUCACUAGUGUAACUGGAGGUCAAGUCUGGUGCCAGCAUCCGCGGUAAUACCAGCUCCAGGAGUGUCUAUGAUGAUUGCUGCGAUUAAAAGGUCCGUAGUCAAUGAACAAGACCUGUCUGUAAUGUGGCUUAUCAAGAGCCGAGUAGGACGGGAAUCGUUCAGAGUUAGGAGCGAUUGAGGGCUAGAUUAUUGAGCAGCGAGGGGUGAAAUCUGAUGACCUGCUUAGGAGUAACAGAGGCGAAAGCGCUAGUCAAGAGCGAAUCCGAUGAUCAAGGACGUAGGCUGGAGUAUCGAAGACGAUUAGAGACCGUAGUAGUUCCAGCAGUAAACGAUGCCUACACUGUUGCAGACUUGUCUGCGACAGAAGAGAAAUCUAGUAGGGCUACGGGGAGAGUACGCGCGCAAGUGUUAAAUU
rnacentral:rRNA from 1 species